rnacentral:rRNA from 1 species
UACAGAGGGUGCGAGCGUUAAUCGGAAUUACUGGGCGUAAAGCGUGCGUAGACGGUAUUUAAGUCGGGUGUGAAAGCCCCGGGCUCAACCUGGGAAUUGCAUUCGAGACUGAAUAGCUAGGGUACGGUAGAGGGAAGUGGAAUUUCCGGUGUAGCGGUGAAAUGCGUAGAUAUCGGAAGGAACAUCGAGUGGCGAAAGCGACUUCCUGGACCAGUACCGACGUU